GUGUCAGCAGCCGCGGUAACACGUAGGGUGCGAGCGUUGUCCGGAAUUAUUGGGCGUAAAGAGCUCGUAGGCGGUCCGUCACGUCGGAUGUGAAAUUCCAGGGCUCAACCCUGGACCUGCAUUCGAUACGGGCGGACUAGAGUUCGGUAGGGGAGACUGGAAUUCCUGGUGUAGCGGUGAAAUGCGCAGAUAUCAGGAGGAACACCGGUGGCGAAGGCGGGUCUCUGGGCCGAUACUGACGCUGAGGAGCGAAAGCGUGGGGAGCGAACAGGAUUAGAUACCCUAGUAGUCC
rnacentral:rRNA from 1 species